CAGGUAGGACUACCCGCUGAACUU
rnacentral:ncRNA from 2 species